rnacentral:misc_RNA from 1 species
GAUGAAGAACGUAGCGAAACGCGAUAAGUAGUGUGAAUUGCAGAAUUCAGUGAAUCAUCGAAUCUUUGAACGCACAUUGCGCCCCUUGGUAUUCCAUGGGGCAUGCCUGUUCGAGCGUCAUUUGUACCUUCAAGCUUUGCUUGGUGUUGGGUGUUUGUCUCGCCUUUGCGUGUAGACUCGCCUUAAAAUAAUUGGCAGCCGGCGUAUUGAUUUCGGAGCGCAGUACAUCUCGCGCUUUGCACUCAUAACGACAGCGUCCAAAAGUACAUUUUACACUCUUGACCUCGGAUCAGGUAGGGAUACCCGCUGAACUUAAGCAUAUCAAUAAGCGGAGGA